CUAAGGAGGCAGAUUUACUUACCUCUUUAGCUCCUCCUUAUCUUCUGGCUACUAGAGUAAUAGAGAGCAGGACUGAGCAGCUCUGACCAAGGCAUGAACACCAUUAUGAUGAGGUGCUAGUGUCCCAUUUCAAACCAUCAGCAUUACCUUUGGCAUACAUCUCCAUGAGUUUGUAGGUGAGGGCAGACAGGAAGAUACUACAUCAGCAAUCUCAGAAUAUUAGGUGUAGUCAUUUUGUAAAUACAUUGUGGGAACUGUUCAGAAAUCUGAAUGUUUGUAUACUGAGUUAAAAGACUUUCAAGCACGAUUGCAUUGUUCUUCAUAGUAGCCUCUAGGAAGAAGCAAGCAGGGGAGAUAAUAGGUAAGCAAUCCCUUUGCAAAUAUUGGGGAGGCAGUUGCAACACAAUGCCAUACAUCCACGCCCCAGGCUGCAUUUAAACAGCUAUUCCUGAAUAAAGAGGUCUAAAGUGCAUUGAAUAGUUAAAAAGCUCUUUCCAGGAAAGGAUGAGAUCAGUUGUCAGUAAGUGUCCCAGACACAGAGAAUGGCCAACUUCUUUAACAUUUGCCCUCAGAGACUCUGAGCAAGUGCAUCCUCCUAUCUCUCACUGAGGAUUUAUGUCCCUUCCCCCCUGCCCUACACUGCUCUCCAAGGGGCCAGUCAACAUCUCAGCUCUCUGCUAUGCAGGACAACUUGUCUUUUACCAACUUGGAAACUCUGCUGCCUGGAAAGGAGGAGACUGUGCCAUGGAGAAAGUAUGUGUGAUUUCUUGAUAACAUUUCCUCUUCAUAACUGCCUGAUGCCAAAGGGCCCCAGAAACCUGUGGUAGAAACCAUCCUUUUGGUGUGCAAGGUUGCCGCAGCGGGAUUUACUAACCAGGACUUGAAACUCUCCUGGGCUUUGCUCUCGGUUCCACAUUUUUGCCACAGUUGUUGCAUCAGGGCCCAGUAUCACUUCACAAGAUGGGGUCCUGUCUGAAUUUGGAGGGACCAGAGAGAUAGCAUGGUAUUUGUCUUUGCUCUGUAUGUCCUGCUCGAGCAGUUAAUGUUGUGUUAGGUGAUAGAAACUUUAGUUAACUUGAAAGCCAAAGUGUGGACAAAUGGAGUGGGCUGACUCUGACUCAGCAGCUGGUUUUCAUGGGUAGGUAAAACAAAUUUAUUGUGUGAAGGGUAUUCUUUUGCAUAAUCUACUAUAAAAGUUCCAUAUGUUUUUUCUUUGCAGUGUUUCUUUGCAGAUGUUUUUUAUUCUUGCAUUUCUUUCUAUUUUUAUACAAGCAAAAAGUUUUUUUUCCUGUAUUUCUGUGAGUAUUUUAAGGAGAUGUUGUUCAUGUUCAUCAAGUGCUACUUUACUCUUCGUGGGGCUGUUGUCAUUUAUCCCAGGGCAUCCCUGGGUAGUGUUUAUGAGUCACUGUGCUAGUAGAGCUGUCCCUGUACCUUACAGCUGUCUAUCCCUCUGGAAUGAUAAGUCUAAAAGGAAUAUCCUCACAUGUGGACCUUUGUAUCCUUAAACAUGAUAGAUUUAAAGAUCUUGGGAUUAAAGGCAUAUAUUUUUGGCAGGUCUCACUAAUUAUGAGUUAAUUCACCCAUGAGCAGCAUAAGUGUCCUACCAGUAUUUUUUGUUGCUCCUUUUCCAAAGGAGAAACAUAUAUCUCAAAAAUCAUGACAGCGCACCUUACUGCACUAAGCACAGACAAUAAUAUUUUAGCUCAGGAAAUAAUCCAGCACACAUGCUGUCAGUGACUAUAGUGGUUCCAGUCUUAUCCAGUUGGAGCUCCCCCAUAAGACAACCGUUAAUUGUCACACAGUAAUAAAAAGUGUGUCUUCUGAUACUGGAGACACUAUGAAAUAUUUGUGUCAGAUGAGAAUAAGAAAUCUCUCAAUUUCUGCUUCAAAGCAGUUCUUGAUUCUCUAUGACUUGGUCUUGUGCUCCAUGUGCCUUUAGAUGGCUUUACUUUGAAUAGCAGAUCUAUGGUUGAUGCUGGUUUUGGCAGAGUCUUGCAGUCAUUGGUAAAGUAGAAUGAACGCUGAGCUCUAGGAUCUGGGUGGUGGUGGAGUGACAUUCUCAGGAUGUAAAAACGAACUUGGUAAUGAUGCUAUUUGGGUGAGACCAAUGUUCAGCUGCCCAGGUGUUCUGUCUCCAAAAACAGAAACAGAUGUUAUUUAGGGAGACCAUACUAGCCUGGCCACUUUCUGCAGUUCAUUCCCCUUGACUUCCCUCCCACACCUGGAGCAGUUGCAUUAGGGACAUUAGUGUAGCCCUUUUAGCAUCUGCUUAUGGACUCUUGGUCCAUCAAAUUAUCUCAUUUUUUUAUGAUCCUACAGCUGCAGUUUCCCUCCUCAGCCUUCUGCAUCAGCAGGUUCCACAAGUUCACUAGAUGCUUUGUGAGGAAGUACUCUUUUAAAUUGAUUUCUUACUGAUUUCAUCAAGUGACCCUAGACUUGCAAAAGUUCUGGAAGAGUUCUGCUACCAGCUUUUCUACCACCUUUAUGAUUCUAGAAACCUUACUUUUAUUUCCUCUCUCAGCUACCUCCUCUUCAAAUUGGACUUCCCAAUCUUUUUUAGUCACUUGUUACUUCUUUGAGCAACUGUUCUAUUAAAACAACUCUGUUUUAGUUGUCCUUGUCUGUACAUACAGCGACUCCACUGCACCUACCUUGAGGUGCUGAGACCAGCACUGUGAAGCAUAGUCAGGAUUUGAGAGGGAUACCACAGACAGUUUCUCUAAGCAGAAUCUUUAGUCACUUGCCCCGUGAACCCACUGUAACUCUGAUCCUGAGGUGUUGUCCAUUUGUAAGCCAUGCUGCUUCCCUCUUGGUGGUGGCGUUGGAUGGAUGUUAUGCUGUGGUGAAGAAGGGGGAUUGUGUGUGCUAUAUCUUUCUGCUUUCUAAUCCAAAAUGACAGAUUCUACCAGGACACAGUGUUAACUCAUACAAAGAAAAGUAUCAGGAUACAUACAGACCAGAAAUGGAACAUACAUGGACAGACCAUCUGAAAAAUCUGCACUAACUCAGUUGGCUGGAUCCAUAUGGAGCUGAUGAACCUCUGAAUGAAUAGUGAAUGGAAAAACUGCUGGAAUCUGCCUUCAGCUUUGUUCCCAGGAUGACCAAUGUAAAAGGCCUAAGAGCAAUACUGCACAGAUGGUGUAAAGAGGAAAUCCAGAAAGCAAGCUUGGGGCAGAAAGAACUUUGAAAAUCAAGCUUUUCUUCACGAAAAAUCUAUUAUGGAGCACAAGUUUCUAUUCCAUUUGGUGUUAAUACCACUUAAACUUCUGAUUUCAUAAAAGCUGCAUUUCAGAGGGGUCCCAAGUGCCUGCAGCCCUGUCCCAAAGGGUCUCCACCACCUCUGCUGCUGAACACAAGACCUCGCUGCUCCUGUGAGUGUGGCCAGAUUAACUGAAAAUACCAGUUUUCAAGAAGGAGGGACUGUUCAUCCAAAAUAACAAGCAACAACAACAAAAAAUCCUACUUUAGUGGGACCUGCAGAGGCUUUUGUAAGGGACUAAUGACUUUGACCUCACUGUCCUGUAGAGGUAAGAAUGAAGACUAUCCUUGGGAAAAAUUUUGAUGAGGAGCGCUGAGCUGAGUCAACAAAAUACCCUACAAACCCCUUGUCUUAAGAGCACUGACAAAGUAAAGCCAUUUGAGCAGAAAUAUACUUAAGGUGUUUCUUAUGUAAGACUUGUAUCUACCUGUAAAGUUUCAGUGUGGUUUGUUUUUGGGUUUUUUUUUCAGGAGUAUUAUGCUUAAAAUGGUUUCAAGACUUUGCAAAAGUUCAAAUGUAUAGAUUUCAACCUGUCUGGAAAUCUACAGUCUAGUUUCUGUUGCUAAAUUAUGAGCUAAGAUGCUGUAUGGCAGUCUGAAAUAUAUCCAUGAAAGGGUUUUCAGAUAAGCUGUUUUUUAAACCAGUGUAAAUUCUUUGUAUGGACUCUCCACCUUGAAGAUUUUCGUCAAGGAUUAAAUGGUAACUGACUACUUCCCUGUACAGUCCUUACCAAAUUUUGUUCUCACUUCCUCUGGUCCUGAGUAACUUCACUGCAUUUGAAGUUAUUCUAAAUUUGUCCCAGUGUAACAGACCAAAAUUUAACUUUAGGAGCCUCUUGGAGAAGCAUUGCCUUCUGUUGGUGUGCUUAUAGAUUUUUGGCUGAGAAUCUGGAAUAGUGAGCAGUCCAAUUCAGGUGUCAACCCUUUCCCUACACUGCCUUGUAGCGAAAUCUCCUUGUCUUGGUAUUUAUAUACAUGAAAAGUCAGUCUGAACUGAUAUAAAAUCAGAUCUCUUCAGUUGCUCCUUUGGUAACAUUUUAUGGCCAGCUUAAAUAGACAAAGUGCAAAAAAUGAAGUCCCAUUUCCCACGUUGAGAUUGCUGUUUCUGGCAGUAAGUGUUUAUAAGAUCAAAUUACUUUUUGUGGGGUAAAAAUAAUACUUUUUAAAGUCAAGCUAUAUAUGUAAAUUAUUUUGGGAUAGAUCUUCAGUGAGGUUUCUAAAAUGAAGCAAGUAUUUAUGAUAUGAAGGCCUUCAGGAGUUAGAGUACUGUAUAUGGGCAAACUGCAAAAAAAGGUCAAUCUUUUUGUAUAUUUAAAUCAGUCUCCAAGUUACUUUGAGUCUUGUAUCAUUUCUGCUUUCUCUAUGUCUUUUUCUUUAAACUUCCAAAGUCAGGUAGCACCCUGCAAGCUGCGUUGAAUCCAACACCUAAGAUAGCCUUAUAAACCCUGCGGACAUUAAACUACUGGAAAACAGAUUGGGUUGGUAAAAAUAAGUGUGCAUGUUCUCACAGAACCUGAGAAAAUCACACCUUUACUUUGUUAAAAAAAAUCUGUUUGUGCCACUCCAGUAAUCACUUCAUAACUGGUGGGAGAGCAGAACAUAUGUCUCAGAAGUGGUGGAAUAUAAAAGCCUCUACCUCUAAUCCUAUUUUCUUUAAGAGAAAAAAAAAAGCAACAAAAAAACCCAACCUUUUCAGUAUGUCAUCUGUAAAAUCAAUGCCAAGGGUUUUCUGCUUAAAAAUGCUAAGACAUUUUGUGGCAAUUUCUGUGAAACUCCUUGGUUAAUCCUUUUGCAGUUUUAUUAGCAAGCGAAGUCCUGGAGAAGUAAAGCAGUGUCAAGAAGGGUGUUGAGAAUGGCUUUUGUAGCCCUGCUACAGGUAAUGAAUCCUACGUGCCUGCUGUUCCUGAGGCAUUUCUUGGUUAGUUGUUUAUGAGGGCUGAAAUCAGCUCUUUUCAAAUUUACCUUUCGGACUCUGCGCCGGUGUGGUAAAUAUUAGGUAACAGGGUAUUUACAGAGGGGUCAUUUCCAUAGAGAAUGGAUGGGACCUGAACAUUGACCUGCUAGAGAGGGGAGGGAAAUAGGCUUCUUUUCCUUCAGGGGGUUGGUGGUUAAAUGGUCAGUGGCAUGAAUGCUGUAAUGUGUGGCAAGGCUGCUGCUUGAAAUAAAUGUUGAGAAGCAAUCUCAGUUUAAUGCUACAAGCAUAAAGUGGAGAUGAUGGCAGUUUAAUAUGUAGUCUACAGGACAAAUGUAUCCCACUUUAACACCACUGAAAUCAGCGUGGUGACAGGUUGUGCCUGCGAGGCUUUGGUCCAGCAGUGUCCAAAUUAAAUGUGAAAAUGCAAACUAACUACUGACAUUAGACACAGGGGUUUCAGGAAGGUUGUUUUUGUCAGGAUUCAGUUGCUCUUUCAUCUUCCUUACAAACUCCAUCCCUCUCUUCCUUUCUCCCAUCUUGCUAAUCAGGGAGGUCAAAGGAUUGGAGAUCCUACCAAGCCUGUUAGGCCCUAGAGUUGGCUUCAGGUGUGACUCGGAUAGAUGGAGUGACUUGCACCAUAAACCAUACCCCCUACUUUUUAUCCUCUGUCCAGCUCCAGACCUGGCUUUGCUGGUACAGGCCAACAAACUUACCUUUAAAAUAAUG